rnacentral:rRNA from 1 species
GACGAACGCUGGCGGCGUGCUUAACACAUGCAAGUCGAGCGGAGCGGCGAACGGGUGAGUAACGCGUGAGUAACUACCCCCCUCUCUGGGAUAACAGUUGGAAACGGUUGCUAAUACCGGCUAGUGGGGGAUGACUCGGGUCCUAUCGUCUUGUUGGUGGGGUAGGGGCCUACGAGGGCGCCGACGGGUAGCCGGCCUGAGAGGGCGACCGGGCACAAUGGGCUGAGAGACGACCCAAACUCCUACGGGAGGCAGCAGUGGGGAAUAUUGCACAAUGGGGGAAACCCUGAUGCAGCAACGCGCGUGCGGGAUGACGGCCUUCGGGUUGUAAACCGCUUUCAGCCAUGACGCGGUAGUGGCAGAAGAAGCACCGGCUAACUACGUGCCAGCAGCCGCGGUAAUAC